GAAUCCAAGCACGGAGACUAACAUCGGUCAAACAGAUCGUGAUGAGGUAACUGCGCAAAUAAAAUCGGAAACCUCCCCCCAAUAUCAGCACGGUUCCCUUCCCCGUCUCUGGAUUCAUCGCAUGCCCGGCGGCCGGUGGCGGAGGCAUCAUGACGACCUGAGCAAGGCAAAUCCGGCUGGUAGAUUCUCCAAAUCCGGCUGGUUCAUGGUGGCAAGAAUCCUACGAGUUCAUCUAGUCAGUGUUCUGCUCCUUAUAUAUCCCAUCCCAUCGCUGCAAUUCAUGCCCUACGUAUUGGUUCUAAGCUGUUUUUUCACCCACCAGUCAAUAUACAGAGAGAUCACGAUUCUAGUUUAAUCUGAAAUUGAUUCAUACGUUCAGAAGUGCAUGCCAAAAACAGAUGUUCAGAAUACUAGAUCUUUCUUGGUAAGAAAGAGUAGUAAAAAAGAAUGACGUACAAUGAGUUGUAACGUACUCCCUCCGUUCCAAAAUAGAUGACCCAACUUUGUGCUAAAGUUAGUGCAAAGUUGAGUCAUCUAUUUUGGAACGGAGGGAGUAACACAUAAUGAAAAUAAACAUAAUAAAUUGGGUUAAUGAUGGUCUGAAACAUGACAUUGUUAUGCUCCGCCAAAUUCCUAUUGUCCUCUCAGUUUGAAGGGUGAAGUGUAUAAACUGGACACCGGUUAAAAGAACAGAAACCUUGCUGAUCUGCUGAUCAAAUGGAAAAAAGUACUCACUGGGGGAAGACUCAUAAUGUAUUAUAACUUCAGAGCCAAACCACAUACUUUUCCUGUUGCAACAUCAACUACAGUAGAAAUCUCAAGUUGUGGAAACAAUUAUUUGAGGUGUCCAUAUGAUAACUUCAGGCUUCACCUACAUAUUAUAAACAUAAAGAUUUGCUUAGUAAGGGAAAAGAGAAGAUGUGCUCUGGACUUUGAUAUGAAUUGAAUGAUCGCUAAAGAAGACAGUAGAAAGUAAAACCCAUCACACAUCAUUGACCAUAACAAGUGGAGAUAGAUGGUUACAACCUUACAAGGAAGCACAAUAUCAACAUUUCAGAAGAUUCUAACCCUAGUCGAGAGCCAAGUGUUACAGGGUCCAGGUUCCUCCACCCCAAGCUAUAUGCUAUUUAUCCAAAUAUAAGGUCAUACAUCAAGAGUAUUCAUACAAAAAAGUUCUUCCAAAACUAAUAUUUAGGAGAGUUCAGUUUAUAGUAAAAAAAUGCAUAUCCGAUUUCCCAUCUUACCAGUGUUAUCCAGUCAUUUGAUGUUUCUACUUCAUGUCUAUUCUAGAAUACACAUUUAACUUCGGUGGAGGAUAUACCAAAUGAAGGUAUGCUAGCUUUUUGAGUUGAAAUGGAAAAAAUACGUCUAGAAAAGAAAAUUCAAGAUGCUAAAAUCAUGCAACUAGAAGAGAAGAUGAGAAGCAUGGAAAGACAACCAAAUAAGGUAAAUUUCUAUCAACUGUAACCUUCAUUUAUUUUGUGGGAUAACCUUUCUGUAUUUCUAUCAUAGGAAAUUUCAGAUCCAAUGGCUACAAGCCUACAAGUUGGCUUGAACCUUCGGUCAUGGACAUAAUUCAAACAGAAAAGUUUGUAUCGUGACACAGUACACAAUAAAAUUCAUCAAAUUUCCCUCCAAAAAUUAUGGUCUCAACUAAUAUUUGUGUUAUGCUAUCAGUAGAGUGUGCUUGCUCCUUCUGUUGAUGGACCCCGACUUGUUAAAAAUGACUACAGAACAAGCCAAGUGGUUUAAAUGGUGCAGAUUUGCAAGCAUCAAACAACCAUUCUGUUCUAGAUAAGGUUUGUCUACUUGAGUACUCUUUGGAACCUGUUAUUGUUGAGGAUUAAUUUGUUACGCUUGCACCUUUUGAAUUUACAUAUACAAUACCCAUAACUUGAUGUGUAUCAUUGUAUCCUAGAACAAAGAAAAUAUGGUUCAUAAUGGUGGCAGUGCACGACCACUAGAAAAAUGUUCUGCUGCACACAAGGUAUCUUCAUAGUCUCAUAUACAAAAUUAUGAUCACACUAUAGUGCUCCCAUGUUUAUGUGUUUACUUGUUGCUAUCAGAAUGUUAUCCAGAACAAAGAAACUUUUGAUUAGAAUUUUAGUGCACGGCAAGGGGAAAUAAAUUCCGUUGCACAUAAGGUAUAUUUGCAUUACCAUAUACACACAGUAUUUUCAAUAUAUAUUGCUUCGAUGGUUAUUAUGUAUCUACUGGUCGUCUUGCUAUCAGACUGAUGUUGAGAACAAAGAAACUUUGCUUGAGAAUGUCAGCACACGCCAGGGAAAACUUAUACUGCAAACAAGCAGGUAUCUUUUCAUAAUCACAUACAAAUUUGUGUGCAAACUAUAGUAUUAGCUUGUUUAUUUGUUUAUUACUUCUUCUUUGCCAUCAUACUAUUGUCCGGAGCAAAAAAAGAACAAAACGUGCUAAUGUAUGCAGUAAGACUGCACAAAGUGGAUUGCUGAGUUGGUUGGGUGUUGUGAACUAUUUGUAAGAGUGCUCAAAUUCAUUUCAUAUGUUCCCUUGUUUUGUUUUUGUUUUUUCAUGGGUGAUGAGGAUGAUUCUUCCAAUGGUAACUUUGAUUUUCUCUAACAGGUAUGAACUAAAGUAUUGUUGAAGAGCCUGAAAAAGGAUGUAGCUCUUUCUACAACUAUUCAAGAGAUAAAUGGACGAGUAUAUGGGUGCGUGGCAAGUAUACUGCAAUGGUGAUGUCAAUGUUUCGGGUCAUGUUGAUGAUGAUGAUGGAUGCUUUGAGUUUCGUUUAUGUUGUAGGAAUGGCAGUCCUGCUGGAUGUUUUUCCUCGGUUAAAUUUUAGUUAAGUUUUCGGGAUGUUGAUGGAUGCUAUCAGUUUAAGUUUUGCUGUCAAGAAAAUAGAUAGAUUAUGCAUCACAUUUGGAUGAUGUUCCUCUUGUAAUAUCCACUAUUGUAAUCCAACAAUUUUAUCUAAUAUAUGAUUUCUUACUCUUGUGAGUA